AAGUCGUAACAAGGUUUCCGUAGGUGAACCUGCGGAAGGAUCAUUAACACGUAUCCACGUAUCAACCAACCGCGAACUUGUUUUCAACUCUCCCUUUGAGGCACAUGAAUUGGAAUUGAAUAAAGUAUUGAGUGGGACCUUCGGGCCGACUUUGUUCAAUCACUGAGGUAAUUUAUUACUUCGACAAUUGUAGCGCUUUGAAGGCUAUCUUCUAUUAUUAGAGUCUCCCUCAAGAUUCUAGUAGUGGGAAUCACUCACCUAUUUCACCCCCUUUUUGCUAGUUGACUUUAUUAUGUUGUUAUUAUUCGGAUUAAUUUCUGGGUGAUUUCACACGUUUAUUUACUUAAACGAUUAAAACAACUCUUAGCAAUGGAUAUCUUGGUUCUC
rnacentral:misc_RNA from 1 species